GUGCCAGCAGCCGCGGUAACACGUAUGGGGCAAGCGUUGUUCGGAAUUACUGGGCGUAAAGGGCGUGUAGGCGGUUCGAAAAGCCCGGCGUGAAAGGUAUCGGCUCAACCGAUAGACUGCGCUGGGAACUGCCGGACUGGAGUCAUGGAGGGGGAGCUGGAAUUCCAGGUGUAGGGGUGAAAUCUGUAGAGAUCUGGAAGAACACCGGUGGCGAAGGCGAGCUUCUGGCCAAUGACUGACGCUGAGGCGCGAAAGCGUGGGGAGCAAACAGGAUUAGAAACCCGCGUAGUCC
rnacentral:rRNA from 1 species